rnacentral:rRNA from 1 species
UACAGAGGUCUCAAGCGUUGUUCGGAUUCAUUGGGCGUAAAGGGUGCGUAGGCGGCGCGGUAAGUCGGGUGUGAAAUCUCGGAGCUUAACUCCGAAACUGCAUUCGAUACUGCCGUGCUUGAGGACUGGAGAGGAGACUGGAAUUUACGGUGUAGCGGUGAAAUGCGUAGAUAUCGUAAGGAAGACCAGUGGCGAAGGCGGGGUCUCUGGACAGUUCCUGACGCUGAGGCACGAAGGCCCAGGGGGGAGCAAAA